rfam:Myotis lucifugus cont2.491, whole genome shotgun sequence.
GGCCUCCCUCUGUGGGGCAAUCGAUCUGGGGGCCCCUGCCAUCGAUUGCCCCACAGAGGGAGGCC